UUCUAAAUGGGUCCUGUUAAGAAUGCCUUCGUUGUUUUGUCAUGCUUCAAGGCCCAGGAAAGGCCCGGGCAAAACUCUUGGUGGGCUUUUGUCCUAUUCCAGCCGUUGUAUAAGGGCACUGGCUUCUGAUGUUCAACUUCACCACCCAGUCAAUACUGAAACAGUUGCUACGGAGGCCUGCGUUAGUGAGACCUGGCCUGCCACACCCACACAUCUGAGGCCCCAGCGGGAGCUGAAACCUGACACAAAGACAGCAGGCCUUGGAGAGUGAGGGCCAGACACCUCCAUUUAAAACGCAGAAAGCGUUAUCCUGCAGAAACUUUGAAAGGCUUGAUGUAUUUGCUGAACUUUGGAAUGCUCACUGAGUUUAAAAUCACUAUUGUAUCAGUGUUGCUCGGCCCAAAACUAGCUAGGGCACUGAGGAGGAAAUAGUCUGGAUAGUCACAUAAUAAUACGGACUACUCUGGCCAGUCUAGAGCCCUGUGUGAAAGAUAAUAGCGGAAAUAAUUUCCUCAAGACACCAGAAGCUUCGGACAACUGCUUUUUACUGCGGGCUGUUUUUCCCCUUGUCAAUGCCAUUCCAAUUAUUUUGUUGGUGCGUGGAAGGAAAUUAGUUAAGUGACAUUUGAGUAUCAGAGCUUCUCCUUGGUACCUUGGGCCUCGUCUGCCUCUAGCCAGAACCCACAUACAACAAGGCUCCCCCGUGGCGUCUCGGCAGGGGAUCUGCCAGAGCAGCCCUGGA
rnacentral:lncRNA from 1 species